rnacentral:rRNA from 1 species
AGAGUUUGAUCAUGGCUCAGAUUGAACGCUGGCGGCAUGCCUUACACAUGCAAGUCGAACGGCAGCACGGGAGCAAUCCUGGUGGCGAGUGGCGAACGGGUGAGUAAUAUAUCGGAACGUGCCCAGUCGUGGGGGAUAACGUAGCGAAAGCUACNNUAAUAUCGNAUACGAUCUAUGGAUGAAAGCGGGGGAUCGCAAGACCUCGCGCGAUUGGAGCGGCCGAUAUCAGAUUAGCUAGUUGGUGGGGUAAAAGCUCACCAAGGCGACGAUCUGUAGCUGGUCUGAGAGGACGACCAGCCACACUGGAACUGAGACACGGUCCAGACUCCUACGGGAGGCAGCAGUGGGGAAUUUUGGACAAUGGGCGAAANNCUGAUCCAGCAAUGCCGCGUGCAGGACGAAGGCCUUCGGGUUGUAAACUGCUUUUGUACGGAACGAAAAAGUACACAGGUGCUGCAUGGCUGUCGUCAGCUCGUGUCGUGAGAUGUUGGGUUAAGUCCCGCAACGAGCGCAACCCUUGUCAUUAGUUGCUACAUUUAGUUGGGCACUCUAAUGAGACUGCCGGUGACAAACCGGAGGAAGGUGGGGAUGACGUCAAGUCCUCAUGGCCCUUAUAGGUGGGGCUACACACGUCAUACAAUGGCAGGUACAAAGGGUUGCCAACCCGCGAGGGGGAGCUAAUCCCACAAAGCCAGUCGUAGUCCGGAUCGUAGUCUGCAACUCGACUACGUGAAGUCGGAAUCGCUAGUAAUCGUGGAUCAGAAUGUCACGGUGAAUACGUUCCCGGGUCUUGUACACACCGCCCGUCACACCAUGGGAGCGGGUUCUGCCAGAAGUAGUUAGCCUAACCGUAAGGAGGGCGAUUACCACGGCAGGGUUCGUGACUGGGGUGAAGUCGUAACAAGGUAGCCGUAUCGGAAGGUGCGGCUGGAUCACCUCCUUUCU